CCACAUAGAACGACAGGACAUCAAGGAGAAAAAUAUUUUCUAACAUUUAUAGAUGAUUUUAGCAAGUUGGCAAAAGUAUUUUGUAUCGGAUCAAAGGAAGAAGUAUAUGAAUGUUUUGUGGAAUAUGUUAAUUAGCUACAAAAUUUAACUGGAAAAGUAAUAAAGGAAUUGAGAUGCGACAAUGGUAGAGAAUAUACUAAUAAAAGAAUUUUUAAUUUUGCGAGAGAAAAGGGUAUUAUGAUUAAGCCCUGCCCAGCAUAUGUGCAUGAGUUGAACGGUACAGCAGAAAGAUACAAUAAUUCGAUUAUGGAUAUGGCACGAUGCCUUUUAGCAGAAGCAAAAGUUGACAGACGAUUUUGGCCAGAAGCCGUAAAAACAGCAGCUUAUUUAAAGAACCGAAUAUUGACAAAUACUCCAGAAAGAAAGACUCCUUAUGAACUAUUUUUCCAGAAGAAGCCAUCUGCAAAAUAUUUAAAAAUGUAUGGCAGUAAAGUUUAUGUAAGAACGCCAGAAGAAAGGCGAAGGUCAAAAUGGGACCAUAAAUCAGAAAUGGGAAUUCUGCUCGGAUAUACUGACGUUGGUUAUAGAGUACUGAUUAAUGACAGAAUUAUCAUAGCAAGACACGUAGAUAUAAUUGAAAAAUAUGUGAAAUUAAUUGCUUUUGACGGCAAGGAAGAAGAUAAAGUGGAUA